CCUGGUGGUUUACAGGGUGAAGCGUCUGCCUGCAAUGCAGGAGACCCGGGUUCAAUCCCUGGGUCAGGA
rnacentral:tRNA from 1 species